rnacentral:tRNA from 1 species
AUUCAUGUAGUUUUAUAUAAAACAUUCCAUUUUCAAUGGAAAAAUGGAAAUACUCCCUUGAAUU